rnacentral:rRNA from 1 species
AUUGAACGCUGGCGGCAUGCCUUACACAUGCAAGUCGAACGGCAGCACGGGAGCAAUCCUGGUGGCGAGUGGCGAACGGGUGAGUAAUAUAUCGGAACGUGCCCAGUCGUGGGGGAUAACGCAGCGAAAGCUGUGCUAAUACCGCAUACGAUCUAAGGAUGAAAGCGGGGGAUCGCAAGACCUCGCGCUAUUGGAGCUGCCGAUAUCAGAUUAGCUAGUUGGUGGGGUAAAGGCCCACCAAGGCGACGAUCUGUAGCUGGUCUGAGAGGACGACCAGACACACUGGAACGGAGACACGGUCCAGACUCCUAGGGGAGGCAGCAGUGGGGAAUUUUGGACAACGGGCGCAAGCCUGAUCCAGCAAUGCCGCGUGGAGGAUGAAGGCCUUCGGGUUGUAAACUGAUUUUGGACGGAACGAAACGGCCCUUUCUAAUACAGGGUGCUAAUGACGGUACCGUAAGAAUAAGCUCCGGCUAAAUUCGUGCCAGCCGCCGCCGUAA